GACGUAGGGCGCGAGCGUUGUCCGGAUUUAUUGGGCGUAAAGAGCUCGUAGGCGGCUUGUUGCGUCGACUGUGAAAACCCGCGGCUUAACUGCGGGCUUGCAGUUGAUACGGGCAGGCUAGAGUGUGGUAGGGGAGAUCGGAAUUCCUGGUGUAGCGGUGAAAUGCGCAGAUAUCAGGAGGAACACCGGUGGCGAAGGCGGGUCUCUGGGCCGAUAUUGACGCUGAGGAGCGAAAGCGUGGGGAGCAAACAGG
rnacentral:rRNA from 1 species